GAUGAACGCUGGCGGCGUGCCUAAUACAUGCAAGUCGAGCGGCAGCAUGACCUUCGGGUUGAUGGCGAGCGGCGGACGGCAGAGUAACGCGUAGGAAUAUACCCCAAAGUGAGGGAUAACUGCCCGAAAGGGCGGCUAAUACCGCAUAUGGUCUUUAUGAUUAAAGGAUUUAUCCGCUUUGGGAAUAGCCUGCGUUCGAUUAGCUUGUUGGUGAGGUAAUGGCUCACCAAGGCGACGAUCGAUAGCUGGUCUGAGAGGAUGAUCAGCCUGACUGGAACUGAGACACGGUCCAGACUCCUACGGGAGGCAGCAGUAGGGAAUUUUCCACAAUGGGCGAAAGCCUGAUGGAGCAACGCCGCGUGCAGGAUGAAGGCCUUCGGGUUGUAAACUGCUUUUAUGUGCGAAGAAUAUGACGGUAACACAUGAAUAAGGGUCGGCUAACUACGUGCCAGCAGCCGCGGUAA
rnacentral:rRNA from 1 species